rnacentral:rRNA from 1 species
AUUGAACGCUGGCGGCAGGCUUAACACAUGCAAGUCGAGCGGGGGAAGGUAGCUUGCUACCGGACCUAGCGGCGGACGGGUGAGUAAUGCUUAGGAAUCUGCCUAUUAGUGGGGGACAACAUCUCGAAAGGGGUGCUAAUAACGCAUACGUCCUACGGGAGAAAGCAGGGGAUCUGCGGACCUUGCGCCAAUAGAUGAGCCUAAGUCGGGAUAGCUAGUUGGGGGGGUAAAGGCCUACCAAGGCGACGAUCGGUAGCGGGUCUGAGAGGAUGAUCCGCCACACUGGGACUGAGACACGGCCCAGACUCCUACGGGAGGCAGCAGUGGGGAAUAUUGGACAAUGGGGGGAACCCUGAUCCAGCCAUGCCGCGUGUGUGAAGAAGGCCUUAUGGUUGUAAAGCACUUUAAGCGAGGAGGAGGCUACUCUAGUUAAUACCUAGGGAUAGUGGACGUUACUCGCAGAAUAAGCACCGGCUAACUCUGUGCCAGCAGCCGCCGUAA